rnacentral:rRNA from 1 species
GAUGAACGCCGGCGGCGUGCCUAAUACAUGCAAGUCGAGCGAACGGACGAGAAGCUUGCUUCUCUGAUGUUAGCGGCGGACGGGUGAGUAACACGUGGAUAACCUACCUAUAAGACUGGGAUAACUUCGGGAAACCGGAGCUAAUACCGGAUAAUAUUUUGAACCGCAUGGUUCAAAAGUGAAAGACGGUCUUGCUGUCACUUAUAGAUGGAUCCGCGCUGCAUUACCUAGUUGGUAAGGUAACGGCUUACCAAGGCAACGAUGCAUAGCCGACCUGAGAGGGUGAUCGGCCACACUGGAACUGAGACACGGUCCAGACUCCUACGGGAGGCAGCAGUAGGGAAUCUUCCGCAGUGGGCGACAGCCUGACGGAGCAACGCCGCGUGAGUGAUGAAGGUCUUCGGAUCGUAAAACUCUGUUAUUAGAGAAGAACAUAUGUGUAAGUAACUGUGCACAUCUUGACGGUACCUAAUCAGAAAGCCACAGCUAACUACCUGCCACCAGCCGCGGGAAUACGUAGGUGGCAAGCGUUAUCCGGAAGUAUUGGGCGCAAAGCGCGCGUAGGCGGGUUUUUAAAUCUGAUGUGAAAGCCCACGGCUUCACCCGGGAGGGUCAUUGGAAACUGGAAAACUUUGAGUGCAAAAGAGGAAAGUGGAUUCCAUGUGUAGCGGUGAAAUGCGCAGAGAUAUGGAGGAACACCAGUGGCGAAGGCGACUUUCUGGUCUGUAACUGACGCUGAUGUGCGAAAGCGUGGGGAUCAAACAGGAUUAGAUACCCUGGUAGUCCACGCCGUAAACGAUGAGUGCUAAGUGUUAGGGGGUUUCCGCCCCUUAGUGCUGCAGCUAACGCAUUAAGCACUCCGCGUGGGGAGUACGACCGCAAGGUUGAAACUCAAAGGAAUUGACGGGGACCCGCACAAGCGGUGGAGCAUGUGGUUUAAUUCGAAGCAACGCGAAGAACCUUACCAAAUCUUGACAUCCUUUGACAACUCUAGAGAUAGAGCCUUCCCCUUCGGGGGACAAAGUGACAGGUGGUGCAUGGUUGUCGUCAGCUCGUGUCGUGAGAUGUUGGGUUAAGUCCCGCAACGAGCGCAACCCUUAAGCUUAGUUGCCAUCAUUAAGUUGGGCACUCUAAGUUGACUGCCGGUGACAAACCGGAGGAAGGUGGGGAUGACGUCAAAUCAUCAUGCCCCUUAUGAUUUGGGCUACACACGUGCUACAAUGGACAAUACAAAGGGCAGCGAAACCGCGAGGUCAAGCAAAUCCCAUAAAGUUGUUCUCAGUUCGGAUUGUAGUCUGCAACUCGACUACAUGAAGCUGGAAUCGCUAGUAAUCGUAGAUCAGCAUGCUACGGUGAAUACGUUCCCGGGUCU